rnacentral:rRNA from 1 species
GACGAACGCUGGCGGCGUGCUUAACACAUGCAAGUCGAACGGAAAGGCCCUGCUUCUGUGGUGCGCUCGAGUGGCGAACGGGUUAGUAACACGAGAGUAACCUACCCCUUGCUCUGGGAUAACUUUACGAAACUGGGGCUAAUACCGGAUAGGAUCUCUUGCUGCAUGGUGGGGGUUGGAAAGUUUCGGCGGUUGGGGAUGGACUCGCGGCUUAUCAGCUUGCUGGUGGGGUAGUGGCUUACCAAGGCUUUGGCGAGUAGCCGGUCUGAGAGGGUGACCGGCCACAGUGAGACUGAAAUAGGGCCCAGACUCCUACGGGAAGGAGAAGUGGCAGAUGUGAAACAAGGAGAGGAAGCCUGAUGCAGAAACGCCGCGUGCGGGAUGACGGCCUUCGGGUUGUAAACCGCUUUCGCCUGUGACGAAGAGUAAAUGACGUUAAUGAGUAGAGAAGGCCCGGCUAACUACGUG